GGCGGCGUAGCCAAGAGGCUAAGGCAAGAGUCUGCAAAGCUCUAAGCAGUGGUUCGAGUCCACUCGCCGCCU
rnacentral:tRNA from 1 species